AUGUUUGCUGUGAGUGAUAUUGCAAUGUUUUCUCAAAAAUACUUAACUGCAGCUCAUCAGAAAAAUUAUUCCUUGGCUUCCUUCGCAAAAACAUAGUGUCAAAAAUAGACGUGAGAUCUCGUUAUUUAUAUUGCUGAAGUACUGAAUGGCCCUGCCUGAGAACAGACUGUUCUUGCAUCAGGAACUACGCUGGGAGAUGGGCCUUCACUGAGGAACCAGCUUCUGGAGACGAGGCAGACGAGGAGAAGGAGACAAAUGGAGCAUCCUAAAACUGCCGCACAGAAGUGGUGGUGGAAUUCCUGAGCCGUUUUCCAGAGAAUCCCACCAUUUUCUGUUCACUCAUCUCUCCUCCCCAUCCUUCCUCUCUGGCAGCCAGGAUGGGCCUGGGAUGUGCUCCUGAUGGAAAGAGGGGUCUGCAGUACCUACCAAAGAAGCAAACCAUCCCUUGGGUGCUGCUCUUCAAACCUCCAUUCUCGAUGGCAAAAGGGAAUUUGGUGCCUGAAAACAAGUCCUCUGCAGUAAGGAUGCACAGGCUCAUCCCAGGCUAG
rnacentral:lncRNA from 1 species